GAUGAAGAACGUAGCGAAAUGCGAUACGUAAUGUGAAUUGCAGAAUUCAGUGAAUCAUCGAAUCUUUGAACGCACAUUGCGCCCCUUGGUAUCCCGAGGGGCAUGCCUGUUCGAGCGUCAUUUCACCACUCAAGCCUGGCUUGGUGUUGGGCGACGUCCUCUUUGGGGACGCGCCUCGAAACGCUCGGCGGCGUGGCACCGGCUUUAAGCGUAGCAGAAUCUUUCGCUUUGGAAGUCGGGGCCCCGUCUGCCGGAAGACCUGCUCGCAAGGUUGACCUCGGAUCAGGCAGGGAUACCCGCUGAACUUAAGCAUAUCAAUAAGCGGAGGA
rnacentral:misc_RNA from 1 species